rfam:Mustela putorius furo unplaced genomic scaffold scaffold00118, whole genome shotgun sequence.
GUCUGUCUGCCUCUUUCUUGGUUCUGCUGUCCUGCACUACCGGACAGAAUUUUCUGCUCUUGUACUGAGAGGACCCUGAAGUGAGGCCUUCCCCUGUAGAGGAGCUUGGUUCCUUGCUCGAGGGUCUCCUAGCAGCUGCUCCCUGUGCUAGAACCUUCCAACAAACUCUCGGGCCCGGCUGUGGGACGAUGGAGGCUAGUCAGGGCUAGUCAUACUUCCCUACUCUGGGCCUAUGCAAAUGAGGAGCUGUACGCGGCAGUCUGCCUUUCUUA